UACGUAGGGUGCGAGCGUUGUCCGGAAUUAUUGGGCGUAAAGGGCUCGUAGGCGGUCUGUCACGUCGGGAGUGAAAACUCGGGGCUUAACUCCGAGCCUGCUUCUGAUACGGGCAGACUAGAGGUAUGCAGGGGAGAAUGGAAUUCCUGGUGUAGCGGUGAAAUGCGCAGAUAUCAGGAGGAACACCGGUGGCGAAGGCGGCGCUCUGGGUCGGCCCUGACGCUGAGGCGCGAAAGCGUGGGGAGCGAACGGG
rnacentral:rRNA from 1 species